rnacentral:tRNA from 1 species
AGAUUAUAGUUUAAUCAGGUAAAAUAGUCGGUUGUCAUCCGAUUAAUACGGGUUCAAAUCCCGUUAAUCUC